rnacentral:rRNA from 1 species
UGGGGAAUAUUGGACAAUGGGCGAAAGCCUGAUCCAGCAAUGCCGCGUGUGUGAAGAAGGUCUUCGGAUUGUAAAGCACUUUCGACGGGGACGAUGAUGACGGUACCCGUAGAAGAAGCCCCGGCUAACUUCGUGACAG